rnacentral:rRNA from 1 species
UACGAAGGGGGCUAGCGUUGUUCGGAAUUAUUGGGCGUAAAGAGCUUGUAGGCGGUUUGUCGCGUCUGCCGUGAAAAUCCGGGGCUCAACCCCGGACUUGCGGUGGGUACGGGCAGACUAGAGUGUGGUAGGGGAGACUGGAAUUCCUGGUGUAGCGGUGAAAUGCGCAGAUAUCAGGAGGAACACCGAUGGCGAAGGCAGGUCUCUGGGCCACUACUGACGCUGAGAAGCGAAAGCGUGGGGAGCAAACAGG